CACACUCCAUCUUUAAGGGUUAAAAGAACCAUUCAGUUUUGUUUGAGCAAUAGCCACCAAUCAUCAUCUGCAUCAUCUGCAAUGCACAGCCCCUCCUCUUAGAGUCUCUUACUUUUUGCUACUUACAUUUUGACUUGAACUUGGCUCAAUCUACAGAGAGAUGAUGAACCGCAUCUCCAUACUUCUACUCAAAUGGGUCCUUAUUAUCUGUCAAAGUCAGACAUCAGCUCACGUCGUGCUUCAGUCGACACGUUUCAUGACAGCAGUACCAGGAGCUAAAGUGACUUUAGACUGCAGCAUGGCAGCAGGAGUUAGCAUGAGUAGUUACACUAUGUUUUGGUACAGGCAAGUCCAUUAUGGACAGCCUGUAGAAUUUAUUAUAAAAGAGUAUGAUAAACCAACACAGAACUUUGAAGCCAUUCUAAACACAAAGGACAACUUGUUCAGCCUGAUUGUCUCAAACCUCACUGUGCAGAAGGACAGUGGCACAUAUUACUGUGCUGCAAGGCACAGUGAAGCCAGAACUGUGCACACUCUAACAAGAAGCUUGAUAUAAUUGACACCUGGUUUAUGAUAAACUUUGCUCUAAGGAUAUCCUGGUUAAAAGCUCUUGUGGUUACAAGACAUGGAAAAUUCUGUAAUCCAUUGGCUGCAGUGCUACUAAAUAAAAGAAAUGCUAACAACCUUUUCACUCGCAAUUUUUUAGUCAAAAUUUUCAUUGGAGUAACAAGCUACUUUGAGUUGUCCAUCAUAUAAUAAAGUUCCAAACAUAAGAACAUACAUUUGGAAGGAGGCUGAUCAUUCAGUCCUGUCAAUCAUCAUCACAAGCUCAUAUAAGCAAGCUCAUAUACUGUAAUUCUUCCACCAUUCCUCUUCGAGCCCAAAUCUUCUAUUCCAAUUUACCUCAUUUUAUCAAAUUCCAUAGUCUGCAGAUCAGCUCUGAGCAUGAGUCUACUUCCUUCUAAGGAUGAUGAGUCAAAUUUGUUUACCUUUAAUUCUAUUUUGAACUGGACGGGCAUUGAACUCAUUAAAGUCAUUUUAGUGAGUUCAUUCAUUUGAAUGGUAAAUACCUGUAAAUACAUAAUUUUAAAUUCUCUGCAUCUUUGUUUUUGAUGAUGAACAUUUACUUAAAUGCUGCUCUUCAUCAUGUUUUCAACUCAAGACUUAUUAGAAUUUAGUAUAAAUAUAUCUGCUCAGGGGUGUGUUUCCUGUACAACGACAUACAGUAACUCACUGCUUAACUACCAUAGUACGAUGCAUCAUUGAAGAAAUCAACUAGUCAUGACCGUUUCCCGAAUCCGUAUUGUCGCAAAUUUGUCUUUCAACCACAUUGGUUAAUGAAGUCAUGCAAUUUGUGGAGUAAUAACUUCUUUUAAUGAAUUUGUUUGAGAUCGAAUUAAUGCUAGAUUUUUUGAU